CUGUCCUGGCCCUGAAACUCACUGCCUUUUCCCCGUUGUUACUCUCUGUCAUCCCCUCAUCAGAUGACCAUGAAGGUCGACAGAGACAAGCCUUUUCUCCUGUGGUCCAUGUCCCUGUUGCCUGCCUUCUGUGAUCACUCAAAAGACAAGGAAGAUGAAACCCAACCAAGUUCAAGUAUCGGCAACUGGUAGAAGCAGGAGACCAGCCCACAACCUGAAUCCAGAUCCCAUCCUCCUACCACACUGAAAGUUCAGGCUUCUCCAUGGGUUUGCUUCAGGUCAAGUAUAUUUAAAAUCCUGUGGAUGCCAGCCUGGAGUGCUUCAGAGUGCUCUGUGGAGGAGACACGGGAACGACAGAACUCCUUUCAUGCUUUCCAGGCUGAAAUGCCACAUGGUCAAGAGUCAAUCUGUACCCGUGUGAUAUACCCCCAGUGCAUUAAGGUCCAGGCCAUUCAUGGCUAUCAUGUCUAAAUAGUCUGCUUGUUCUAAAUUUGCUCUGCGUGUGCGCCUUUCAAGAAUAGCUCUUUUUAGCUGAUCAACCCCUGUUUUCAAAUGUAAAUGUGC